AGGAGCAGCGAAGCCGUGAGGAAGCGUUUCCUGCCCGGAGCGAAGCGAGGCUGGAUUGAACCGAAGGGGAGCGGAGCUCGCACCUUUUCUGCCGCGUUUUUCGGGAAGGGCUGCUAGCAAUGCCUUUCGCUUUGCCAACGAAAAGGAUCGGGGCGAGUUGCCUCUGAAUCCGAGUCAGCGACUGCCAACAUCCAGCCAAGCAGAAAACAGAAGCAAAAGAUAGAAGAACAAUAAAAGCAAAAGGCAGAAGCGGAAGACGGAAGCAGAAGAUGAGAGAUAGAAGCAGAAGCAGGAAAAGAAGUAUAAAUAUAGAAGCAAAAGAGGAUAGAAACAAAAGAGAAAGAAGCAGAAGAUAGAAGCAAAAGGAGAAGCAGGAAGAAAGAAGCAGAAGACAGAUAUGGAGAAGCAAGAGGAAUGCAUUACUAUUUAUCAUGGGAAAUAAAGAUGCUACCUACCUCCUCUUUCCGUUGGUGAUUCGGACCAAGUUUUUUUUUCAUAUGUGGGCUUGGAUUUAAAAAGGGAACUUGUGCUGCUAACCCAUUCCUUUCCUACCUGUGGUAAAGCUGCUUUCCUACUGGACAAUGGCAAGACUUUCUUUCCAACACUUUGCCUUUGGCAACGGUACAAUGUAAUGUGGGAAAACGAGGCUCUGGGUUGCAUGAACUUGCAUGAGUCCCUUUCUGGAAUCAAAGUGUUAAACCACUUUUUACCCCUUUACACCUUAUUCUAUACUGUCUCUGUGCCUCAGCCUAAGAGAGUGACCUUGAGCAAUAAAAUCGAUCCUUCUCCAGGAUACAGCUUACCAAGUUCUCCUACCUUUAAACUUUCUUUGCUCGGGAAAGAAAACGGUUCAAAAUGGUUACCUUGGAUUUUGGCUUCUAACCCAAAGGAUCCUUGGUGCUAGCUGGAGUCCUUUCAACAGACGGCCUCUGUAGUACUUUGACCGCUUCCUCCAAAUAACUCAUGGUUUUAUAUAAUAACAAUUAUCUUAUGCAUUCUGCAGAAUGGAUCAGAAAUUACUUUUAAUGGCUGUGUUGACUUUUAAGAAUUGUAUUUAUUCUGAAGCCAUACUUUAAGAUAAAGCCCUCUCCCGUUUGUAUAUGUAUUUUGAAUGAGAUUGAUAGCACUCUAGAAAGGUACGUUUUCUUGUUUGAAAGGUUUUUCAGAGUUACUUUUGCAGUGUAUGUAAAAAUGUAACAUUGUUUACAAUGAGGAAAUGGUGUCUAAGUGAGAGGGAUGAAGAAGGCUGAAGCAGGGAAAUCCUGAUGACCUGGAACCGAGGACCGCCCUACCUCUGUCCUGCUAUGUACUCUUGACUGCCCCUUAUCUCUCCCCUAUGGAGGCUUUGGCCAAAGUUCUUGAGAAACUUAAAGAGAAGGUGGAAAACCUGACUUCCUUGAUACCUGUGGCGACUUGAGCUUCAAAAUGCCACGAGGGACUCGGUUUUAAACACUGCAGGCUUUGAUCUUAUGGAAGAGCAUGGCUCUUCCUUAGACCAAUUACUCCAAGGGGAAGAAGGUAAGUUAGAGAAGCGAUCAAGUUGGUCGACCUGGGAAAUGUAUAGCCUUGCCUGAAAAGAUGCAGAGUGGUUGGAGUUAGCUUUCUUUGAAGUCACUCUGCUUUCCCUGCUGGGUCUGCAAAAGAGAGGGUGAGGGUCCCAUAAUCGGCAAGGGGAAGACAAUCUAAUCUUAAGUGCCUAAAGCUCCAUGAGCUUUCACGAGUGGAAAUCCUGUGGUGGUAAAAUCCUAUCUGCUCACAUGAUGCCUCGAUUUACAAACUCUGAUCGCUUACUGCAUAAAUUCUGAUCUCUGCUGGAGUUGUAACUCGACUACCUGUGCAAUCUGUUUUUUUUUAAAAAUCCAAUGGGACCAAUUUCUAAUCCCAAAAAAUCCAAUGGGACCAAUCAAAUAGCAAUGGAGCUUAACUUUGAAUAUGUUCACUGAUUUUAAUUUCCUCUUAUAUUUUGUGUCCAUGAUUUAUUGUGACUGACUGCCUUCUGGCCAAAAUUAAAGGUCCUGGUGUCCUUCGGAACCUUGAAUGGCUUGGGGAUUAUCCCACGAGUGCCCUCCCAAGCUAUGAAGUGGUCCGGCAAGAUCUGCCCUUUCUGGGUUUUCUGGCAGGGAGGAGGGCUUUCUCUGGAGGGUGCAAGGUUAACUUUAGAGCAGUGUUUCUCAACCUUGACAAUUUUAAGGCAUGUGGACUUCAACUCCCAGAAUUCCACAGCCAGCAAAGCAAAGCUUUGUGUGUGAUGAGUUGAAGUCCACAUGCCUUAAAAUUGUCAAGGUUGAGAAACACUGCUUUAGAGAGAUGCUCUUCUUCCCCUGUCCAGUGGUUUUUAACUGGACUCUAAAAUUUUGGCCUGUGCCAAGCUUUUCGUUUCCAAUUUAUUCCCAAGUUUGACACCGAUAUUGAUUGUAGCCGGACCUUAGCUUAAAUUUUCAAUCCUUUUUAUACAGAUUUAAGCUGCCUCAAAGAUGGAAUAAACAGAAAUUAAGGUUACUUUGAUGGGCACUAACUUUUGAUUAUGUAUGUUUGGUGAGGUUUAUCUUUAAAUUUAUUGCGAUGGUUAAUAUAUUAAAGUGAGUAAGUAGGGUUAGAUUUUACUUUUGCUGCUAGUUUUGAAAUUGACAGGAUUAUUAAAAUGUUUUAUGUCUACCUAAAUCAGCCAUUUCUUCCAUCUUCAAGGCACUCUUACAAAAGUAAAAUCAAAAAUAUAAAAUGUACGUUAGGACAUCAGUAUGCUUAAUGUCAAAAGUAAAUGUUGGAAUAAAUUGACAAACUGUU